UACACUCCUACGGGAGGCAGCAGUGGGGAAUUUUGGACAAUGGGCGAAAGCCUGAUCCAGCACUGCCGCGUGUGUGAAGAAGGCCUUCGGGUUGUAAAGCACUUUUGUCCGGAAAGAAAUCCUUGGCUCUAAUACAGUCGGGGGAUGACGGUACCGGAAGAAUAAGCACCGGCUAACUACGUGCCAGCAGCCGCGGUAAUACGUAGGGUGCGAGCGUUAAUCGGAAUUACUGGGCGUAAAGCGUGCGCAGGCGGUUUGCUAAGACCGAUGUGAAAUCCCCGGGCUCAACCGUGGAACUGCAUUGGGGACUGGCAGGCUAGAGUAUAGCAGAGGGGGGUAGAAUUCCAUGUGUAGCAGUGAAAUGCGUAGAGAUGUGGAGGAAUACCGAUGGCGAAGGCAGCCCCCUGGGCCAAUACUGACGCUCAUGCACGAAAGCGUGGGGAGCAAACAGGAUUAGAUACCCCUGUAGUCC
rnacentral:rRNA from 1 species